GGUUUGUGGCUUAGUGGUAGAGCGCUUGCCUAGCAUGUACAAGUGCCUGGGUUUGAUCCCCAUUACUG
rnacentral:tRNA from 1 species